UGUGUGCUAGCGAUUGGAAAUGCUAGUCUAAGCGUUUAGGGAGUUACAGUAGGCAAAUCCGCUGUAACAAUUCUGAGGCGUGAUGGGGAAGGUCAUUAAGACCGAAGUACAUGAUUCCAUGCUUCCAAGAAAAGCAUCUAGAGAGAGAAGUAGUGCCCGUACCGCAAACCGACACAGGUAGAUGAGGAGAGAAUCCUAAGGCCGGCGGAAGAAUUGCAGUUAAGGAACUAGGCAAAUUGACCCCGUAAGUUCGCGAGAAGGGGUGCCUGUGAGAGCAGGCCGCAGAGAAUAGGCCCAAGCAACUGUUUAGCAAAAACACAGGUCUCUGCUAAAGCGUAAGCUGAUGUAUAGGGGCUGACGCCUGCCCGGUGCUGGAAGGUUAAGGGGAACACUUAGCGCAAGCGAAGGUGUGAACUUAAGCCCCAGUAAACGGCGGCCGUAACAAUAACGGUCCUAAGGUAGCGAAAUUCCUUGUCAGGUAAGUUCUGACCCGCACGAAUGGCGUAAUGACUUGGGCACUGUCUCAACUGCAAAUCCGGCGAAGUUGUAGUGCGAGUGAAGAUGCUCGCUACCCGCGAUUGGACGGAAAGACCCCGUAGAGCUUUACUGAAGCUUAGCAUUGAAUUCCGGUAUUGUCUGUACAGGAUAGGUGGGAGACUGGGAAACUAGGGCGUCAGCCUUAGUGGAGUCAACCUUGGGAUACCACCCUGACAGUACUGGGGUUCUAACAGGACGCCAUGAAGCUGGUGACUGGACAUUGUUAGGUGGGCAGUUUGACUGGGGCGGUCGCCUCCUAAAAAGUAACGGAGGCGCCCAAAGGUUCCCUCAGAACGGUCGGAAAUCGUUCGUAGAGUGCAAAGGCAGAAGGGAGCCUGACUGCGAGACCCACAAGUCGAGCAGGGACGAAAGUCGGGCUUAGUGAUCCGGUGGUACCUCGUGGGAGGGCCAUCGCUCAACGGAUAAAAGCUACCUCGGGGAUAACAGGCUGAUCUCCCCCAAGAGUCCACAUCGACGGGGGGGUUUGGCACCUCGAUGUCGGCUCGUCGCAUCCUGGGGCUGUAGUAGGUCCCAAGGGUUGGGCUGUUCGCCCAUUAAAGCGGCACGCGAGCUGGGUUCAGAACGUCGUGAGACAGUUCGGUCCCUAUCCGUCGCGGGCGUAGGAAAUUUGAGAGGAGCUGUCCUUAGUACGAGAGGACCGGGAUGGACUGACCUCUGGUGCACCAGUUGUUCUGCCAAGAGCAUGGCUGGGUAGCUAAGUCGGGAAGGGAUAAACGCUGAAAGCAUCUAAGCGUGAAGCCCCCCUCAAGAUGAGAUUUCCCAUAGCAUAAGCUAGUAAGACCCCUUGAAGAACACAAGGUUGAUAGGUCAGAGGUGGAAGUGCGGUAACGUAUGUAGCUGACUGAUACUAAUAGGUCGAGGGCUUGACCAA
rnacentral:rRNA from 1 species